GACGAACGCUGGCGGCGUGCUUAACACAUGCAAGUCGAGCGGUAAGGCCUUUCGGGGUACACGAGCGGCGAACGGGUGAGUAACACGUGGGUGAUCUGCCCUGCACUUCGGGAUAAGCCUGGGAAACUGGGGCCAAUACCAGAUAUGACCUCCUAUCGCAUGGUGGGUGGAGGCAAGAUUUAUCCGUGCAGGAUGGGCCCGCGGCCUAUCAUCUUCAUGUUGGGGUACUGGCCUACCAAGGCGAAGACGGGUAGCCCACCUGUGAGGGUAACAGGCCACAAUGCGACUAAGACACGGAGCAGAGUCAUACAGAGGACAACAGGCGAGAACAUUACCCAACGGGCGAGCGGCUGAUACAGAGGCACCCCGUGGGAGAUGAUGGCCAACGGGUGGUGAACCUCAUUCAGCAGGGACACUGCGAAAAUGACGGUACCAGCAGAAGAAGCUCCGGCUAACUACGUG
rnacentral:rRNA from 1 species